UCAGUCAGUCAGUCUAUCAGUCAGUGUGUCAGUCAGUCAGUCUAUCAGUCAGUCAGUCAGUCAGUGUGUCAGUCAGUCUAGUCAGUCUAUCAGUCAGUCAGUCAGUCAGUAUAUCAGUCAGUCUAUCAGUCAGUCAGUCUAUCAGUCAGUCAGUCAGUAUAUCAGUCAGUGUGUCAGUCAGUCAGUCAGUCUAUCAGUCAGUGUGUCAGUCUAUCAGUCAGUCAGUGUGUAAGUCAGUCAGUGUGUCAGUCAGUCAGUAUAUCAGUCAGUCAGUAUAUCAGUCAGUCAGUGUGUCAGUCAGUCAGUAUAUCAGUCAGUCUAUCAGUCAGUCAGUGUGUCAGUCAGUCAGUGUGUCAGUCAGUCUAUCAGUCAGUCAGUGUGUCAAUCAGUCAGUAUAUCAGUCAGUGUGUCAGUCAGUGUGUCAGUCAGUCAGUAUAUCAGUCAGUCAGUGUGUCAGUCAGUCAGUGUGUCAGUCAGUCAGUCAGUGUGUCAGUCAGUCAGUCAGUCUAUCAGUCAGUGUGUCAGUCAGUCAGUCAGUCAGUCUAUCAGUCAGUGUGUCAGUCAGUCUNNNNNNNNNNNNNNNNNNNNNNNNNNNNNNNNNNNNNNNNNNNNNNNNNNNNNNNNNNNNNNNNNNNNNNNNNNNNNNNNNNNNNNNNNNNNNNNNNNNNUGUCUGGGGGGUGCUGUGUCUGGGGGGUGCUGUGUCUGGGGGAUGCUGUGUGUGUCUGGGUGCUGUGUGUGCCUGGGUGCUGUGUGUGUCUGGGGGGUGCUGUGUAUGGGGGGUGCUGUGUGUGUGAAUGUAUUUUUUUAUUUAAAUUUAAAUAUUUUUUUUACUAAUAAAAAAAAAAUAAAAAAUUAUAUCCCCCCCUCCCUUCUUACCUUUAUCCUGGGAGGGGGGGGAGGGAGAAGAUCAGUUCUCCCUGGGGGGUUGGGAGCCAUGCUGCCUUCCCUGGUGGUCCAGUGGUGAGAGUGAACUUUAACCUGCGGGUUAGAGUUCACUCUCGCGAGAUCUGAGCGUUGCCGCGGCAACGCUCAGAAUCCCGCGAGAGGACCGGCGGAGCUGCUUGUUGGAGCUCCGCCGGGUCCUCCCUCCCUCACCAGCCGGCGCGGCCGCAUCUCACUGUCUGUGGGCCGGUGAGGGAGAUCUUUGAUCUCCCCACCGGCCCACGGAGGCACUAUGCAGGGCCGGCGAUCGGAUAGCGCUGGCCCUGCAGGGGCCGGCCGGGGAGAUCCCCUGCCGGCCUCGGCCCCACGGCCAUCGCGGCCCACCGGGCAUUUGCCCGGUAUGCCCGAUGGCCAGUCCGGGCCUGAUUACUUGCUAUCUGCAUUUACCAGAUCACUGGCCUCCCAACAUCCCAGUCGUAUAGGGACAAUUAUAGCUAUGGAUUGUCAAUCACAAUUGUGGCUUCUUCAGCAACUUUUUAGUAAAGACGUAGACCAGGGAUUUCAGGUCAAUCAUCAACCUCUGUCAGUUAAAUACUUUUGUGAUAUUUCGACACUUCAAGAUGGAGGGAAUCCAUCUCCAUGGAGAUCUACCUCAUCCAGGUGACUAGUUUACAAGCCUGGACCUCACGGAUGCCUACCUGUCUAUGUCUAUCAGUCAGUGUCUGUCUCUGUCAGUCACAGUCAGUCAGUAUCUCUCAGUCUGUCUGUAGCGGUCAGUCAGUGUGUGUGUCUAUCAGUCAGUAAGUGUCAGUCAGUAUAUGAGUAUUUGCCAGUCAGUGUCUGUCUCUGUCAGUCAGUAUCUUUCAGUCUGUCUGUGGUGGUCAGUCAGUGUGUGUGUCUGUCAGUCAGUGUCUAUCAGUCAGUCUGUGAGUAUUUGCCAGUCAGUGUCUGUCUCUGUCAGUAUCGGUCAGUCUGUGUAGAGGGAUUACCGCUAAACCUUAAGAAGUAUUAAGUGUAUUUUGCCCAUGUUCCCCAUGGAUUUGUGAUUUCGUGUGUGUUUGACCUGCUCCCCAUUCGGGAGACCGCGUACAAACAAAGCCUAUUCGUCUCCCCAAUACCCCAUUUUGAAUGUUUAGUUAGAAUGUUCACACCUCACUAACAAGGUGUGAAAACCACAAACCGCAAGGGAAGCCUUGGCGUGUGCCAACCCUGGGUGGCAGCCCGUUCAUUAGACGAACGCCAUUCAGGGGGAGUAUUAGCAGAUUGCUUCCACCUCGUUCGGAUUCCGAACAGGGACCUCCCUAUUAAUUAGUUUAAUUGGGGUGUGGGUUAUUUAAGCACUUUAUCAUGUUGUAUCCCUUAUGCAUGAUUAAGGCUCCGUUGAGCCGAAACAUUGCACUUUAUGAGGUGGUGUAUCCAGAAAUAAACUUACCUUCUUGAUCCUGGAGUGUUGCCUGUGUUCCUCUGCUUCUGUGAGUCAGUCUGUGUCAGUCAGUAUUUGUCAGUCUAUGAGUCAGUCAGUGUCUGUCAGUCUGUCUGUCUGUAUCAGUUAGUCACACAGUGUCUGUCAGUCAGUAUGUCUGUGAGUCAGUGUCUGUAUCAGUAAGUCAAUCAGUGUCUGUCUCUGUCAGUCAUUGUCUAUGUCUGCCAGUCUGUGAGUCAGUCUGUGUUAGUCAGUGUCUGCCUGUCUGUAUCAGUCAGUCAGUGUUGGUCAGUCUAUGAGUCAGUCAGUGUCUGCCUGUCUGUAUCAGUCAGUUAGUGUCAGUCAGUGUCUGCCUGUCUGUAUCAGUCAGUUAGUGUCAGUCAGUGUCUGCCUGUAUGUAUCAGUGUCUGUCAGUCAGUCACAGUAAGUCAAUCUGUGAGUCAGUCAGUCUCAGUCAGUCUGUGUCAGUCAGUCAGUGUGUCAGUCUCAGUCAGUCAGUGUGUCAGUCAGUCUCAGUCAGUGAGUGUGUCAGUCUCAGUCAGUGAAUCAGUCUGUGUCAGUCUCAGUCAGUCUGUGUCAGUCUCAGUCAGUGUGUCAGUCUCAGUCAGUCUGUGUCAGUCUGUCUCAGUGUGUCAGUCAGUGAGUAUAUCAGUCAGUGUGUGUCAGUCUCAGUCAGUCAGUAUAUCAGUCAGUCAGUGUGUGUCAGUCUCAGUCAGUCAGUCAGUAUAUCAGUCAGUCUCAGUCAGUGUGUCAGUCUCAGUCAGUAUAUCAGUCAGUCAGUAUAUCAGUCAGUCUCAGUCAGUAUAUCAGUCAGUCAGUAUAUCAGUCAGUGUGUCAGUCAGUCUGUGUGUCAGUCAGUGUGUCAGUCAGUCAGUGUGUCAGUCAGUCAGUGUGUCAGUCAGUCUGUGUCGGUCAGUCAGUCUGUGUCGGUCAGUCAGUGUGUCAGUCAGUCAGUGUGUCAGUCAGUCAGUGUGUCAGUCAGUCAGUGUGUCAGUCUGUGUGUGUGAGUCAGUGUGUCAGUCAGUGAGUCAGUCAGUCUGUGAAUCAGUCUCAGUCAGUGUGUCUGUGUGUCAGUUACUUUCAGUCAGACUGUGUCAGUCAGUGUCUCAGUCAGUCUCAGUGUGUCAGUCAGUAUCAGUCCGUGUCAGUCAGUCAGUUUCAGUCUGUGAGUCACUCUGUGUCAGUGUGUCAGUCUCAGUCAGUAUGUGAGUCAGUCUCAGUCAGUGUCAGUCUGCGAGUCAGUCUGUGUCAGUCUGUGUGUCAGUCAGUUUCAGUCUGUGAGUCACUCUGUGUCAGUGUGUCAGUCUCAGUCAGUAUGUGAGUCAGUCUCAGUCAGUGUCAGUCUGUGAGUCAGUCUGUGUGUCAGUCAGUCUCAGUCAGUCUGUGAGUUAUUCUGUGUAUCAGUCAGUGUGUCAGCCAGUCUCAGUCAGUCUGUGAGUGAGUCAGUCUGUGAGUCACUGUGUCAGUCUGUGAGUCAGUCUCAGUCAGUGUCAGUCAGUUUCAGUCUGUGAGUCACUCUGUGUUAGUGUGUCAGUCUCAGUCAGUAUGUGAGUCAGUCUCAGUCAGUGUCAGUCUGUGAGUCAGUCUGUGAGUUAUUCUGUGUGUCAGUCAGAGUGUCAGCCAGUCUCAGUCAGUCUGUGUGUCAGUCUCAGUCAGUCUGUGAGUCAGUCAGUGUCAGUCAGUCUGUGAGUAAGUCAGUCUCAGUCAGUGAGUCAGUGUGUCAGUCAGUCAGUGUGUCAGUCAGUCUCAGUUAGUCUGUGUGUCAGUCAGUCUCAGUCAGUGAGUCAGUCAGUCUCAGUCAGUGAGUCAGUCAGUAUGUCAGUCUGUCAGUGUCAGUCAGUAUGUCAGUCUGUCAGUGUCAGUCAGUAUGUCAGCCAGUGUGUCAGUCAGUGUGUCAGUCAGUCAGUAUAUCAGUCAGUCAGUCAGUAUAUCAGUCAGUCAGUAUAUGAGUCAGUGUGUCAGUCAGUAUAUCAGUCAGUGUGUCAGUAUAUCAGUCAGUCAGUAUAUCAGUCAGUGUGUCAGUCAGUAUAUCAGUCAGUGUGUCAGUCAGUCAGUAUAUCAGUCAGUGUGUCAGUCAGUAUAUCAGUCAGUGUGUCAGUCAGUCAGUAUAUCAGUCAGUGUGUCAGUCAGUAUAUCAGUCAGUGUGUCAGUCAGUCAGUAUAUCAGUCAGUGUGUCAGUCAGUGUGUCAGUCAGUCAGUCAGUCUAUCAGUCAGUCAGUCAGUCAGUCAGUCAGUCUAUCAGUCAGUGUGUCAGUCAGUCAGUGUGUCAGUCAGUCUAUCAGUCAGUCAGUCUAUCAGUCAGUCAGUCAGUAUAUCAGUCAGUCAGUCUAUCAGUCAGUCAGUAUAUCAGUCAGUCAGUGUGUCAGUCAGUCAGUCAGUCAGUCUAUCAGUCAGUGUGUCAGUCAGUCAGUGUGUAAGUCAGUCAGUGUGUCAGUCAGUCAGUAUAUCAGUCAGUCAGUAUAUCAGUCAGUCAGUGUGUCAGUCAGUCAGUGUGUCAGUCAGUCAGUAUAUCAGUCAGUCUAUCAGUCAGUCAGUGUGUCAGUCAGUCUAUCAGUCAGUCAGUGUGUCAGUCAGUCUAUCAGUCAGUCAGUGUGUCAAUCAGUCAGUAUAUCAGUCAGUGUGUCAGUCAGUGUGUCAGUCAGUCAGUCAGUGUGUCAGUCAGUCAGUCAGUCAGUCAGUCA
rnacentral:lncRNA from 1 species